rnacentral:rRNA from 1 species
UACAGAGGUCUCAAGCGUUGUUCGGAAUCACUGGGCGUAAAGGGUGCGUAGGCUGCGCGGUAAGUCAGAGGUGAAAUCCCGGAGCUCAACUUCGGAAAUGCCUCCGAUACUGCCGCGCUUGAGGACUGGAGAGGAGUCUGGAAUUCACAGUGGAGCAGUGAAAUGCGUAGAUAUUGUGAGGAACACUAGUGGCGAAGGCGAGACUCUGGACAGUUCCUGACGCUGAGGCACGAAGGCCAGGGGAGCAAACGGG